CACCUCCUGGUGAGGCAGUGCUGGAGAUGUUGACACUGCCCAGCAUCUCCAUGGACUUUUGUUGAGGCCAGUGGCAGGCCACAGACUACCUAAGGCUCAUACAGCCCUUACUACCACCCAAGGGGGAAUGGACCUAAGGGCAAGGGGCGGGAGCAGCGGAGGAGAGGGACCAGACACAUCCAAACCACCACAGUCCACACAAACUCACAUCUCAUGUCUGGCAGUUGCCUUUCUCCUAUAAUAGAACAAACAUGUUCAAAACUGCCCUCAGUACUUCCAUAAAUUGUGGAGUCAGGACAUCCACCAAUAGCUGCCUACUGAUGCUUGUUGUUGACACUGACAUUAGUCAUUAACACCUGUUCAAAAGUUCCUUGUAUUUCAAUGCUCAAGUAGUGUCACAUUAGAUGUGUCAGUCAGACACAAUUGUUUACAUUGUUUUGGUUAUGGUUCUUAUGGAAAUGUUAGGCUUAGUAUGUUUUCUGAUAUUCCUUCUUAAGAAGACAAAAAAGAGUGCCGUCAAAUAUUUUGUUUGGAUGGUAAUAUGAUCUCAUCUAAUGAACAGAUUAUGUAAUCUGAAUGAGAAAAUUACAUGUUUAAUGACUGUUUUUGUUAGUUUCUAGUUUUUAUGUGUUUACUUUGUGUGUUUAGUCUUGAACUGCUGCAUUACUUAAUUUUUUUUUUUUUUUACUGACUCAUUAACAGAAUGUAGACAGCUUUAGUUUUGUCAGACACUAAAACUGACACAGCUUGAACAUGAUCUUGUUCAUUUCCUGAGUUAUCACUCUUGUCUGUCAUACCUCAGUCAUUUGUGUGCUAACCUAUCAAUAAAUACUGAAUGUGC